AUGAGCAGCCAGGAGGUAGUUCCGGUUCCGGUGUCGCGACUUUUCGUGUUCGGUGUUCAGUUGUUGCGGCUGGUGGCUAGUAACUGAACCAAGAUGCUGCGGAAUCUGUUGGCUCUCCGUCAGAUUGCCCAGAGGACCAUAAGCACUGCUUCACGCAGGCAUUUUGAAAAUAAAGUUCCAGAGAAGCAAAAGCUGUUUCAGGAGGAUGAUGGAAUUCCAGUGCAUCUGAAGGGUGGGAUAGCUGAUGCCCUCCUGUAUAGAAUCACCGUGAUUCUUACAGUUGGUGGAACAGCAUAUGCCAUGUAUCAGCUGGCUAUGGCUUCAUUUCCCAAGAAGCAGGAUUGACUUCAGUCAUCCCAGCAAUCAUUUGGUUCAAUUUCAUUCACCUCUUCAUGGACCAGUAAUCUGAUAAAUAACUGAGCUCUUCUUUGGGGAUCAAUAUUUAUUGACUUGUACUAACUGCUACCAAUAAAGCAGUCUUUACCAAAAAAAAAAAAAAAAGACAAAACAAAA